CCUACGUGAGGCAGCAGUGAGGAAUAUUGGUCAAUGGACGAGAGUCUGAACCAGCGAAGUAGCGUGAAGGAUGACUGCCCUAUGGGUUGUAAACUUCUUUUAUAAAGGAAUAAAACGAGGCACGUGUGCAUUUUUGUAUGUACUGUAUGAAUAAGGAUCGGCUAACUACGUGCCAGCAACCGCGGUAAUACGGAGAAUCCGAGCGUUAUCCGGAUUUGUUGUGUUGAAAGGGAGCGUAGAUGGGUUUUUAAGUCAGUUGUGAAAGUUUGCGGAUCAACCGUAAAAUUGCAAUUGAUACUGGCAGUCUUGAGUACAGUUGAGGUAGGCGGAAUUCGUGGUGUAGCGGUGAAAUGCUUAGAUAUCACGAAGAACCCCGAUUGCGAAGGCAGCUUACUAAACUGUGACUGACAUUGAUGCUCGAAAGUGUGGGUAUCAAACAGGAUUAGAUACCCUUGUAGUC
rnacentral:rRNA from 1 species